AUCUCUAUCUCUUCUCACGAGAUAUCGUCGAGGGGCAGAAUUACCUAAAUAACCUAUUGUUCUGUAAGCAUAUGUCGGCCUCCAUCUUCUUCUUCUCUUCAUGUUCAUAACCAGAAACAAGAGGCGAGUUUGAGAGAUUCAUAGAAACGCAACGUUGUGUUCUUCAUUCAUUAGCUCGAGAUGAUUAUCAUUUUACUGUUAAGGUGUGUGAUGAUUAGGGAUAUGCCGAGUUAACGAAAAAAGCAAGAGGCCAAUUUGCUGGUGAUUAAAAGAAGAAAGAAGGAGCAGUAGAAGUCAGGGUUUCCUUUCGUUGAUCGUUGAAUAAGUAAAACAGAGCUAUAUAUAAUGCAAACAACUUAAGAAGUUACCCCAAGCCACCAAUGUCAAACUGCAUAUCAACAGGGAGACUUAUAGCCCAAUGAGCAGAGGAUUUGAUGUUCAUGUUCCCGAAAAUCGCAGUAUUAUGAGGCUCCUUAUUAUGUAUACAUACAUCUGAGCUUCUAACAAGAUGACAUGAAUGGGCCUGCAGAUGAUGUUGGCAAUACCUAAUAAACAAAUUCCUGAAGAUACUCCAGGUGAAUUCCGUAAAGGAAUGGCUUUUGAAGAUAGGGAAGCUGGAUAAAUAUAUAUAUAUAUAUAUAUUUUAAUGAAUUCUGGUGUGUUUUGUUUUGAUCCCUCAGUCAUAUUCAUGUUGGUUAGGACAAUACAGUGGUGGUCAUUUCAUGUAUUGGUACUGAUAUUGUGUCUCUUUUUAGAAACAAUACUUGUAGCGAUCAUAUCAAUGGUGAAUAUUUUGUGAAUUUGAAUCUUGUAAUUUCUAUUUAGAGUUGAUCUUAAUCCUCA